CUUUCCUCCCUGAUAUGCCCACCUGGCUGCUCAACCUCAGCUUCAAGGACCCUGCCGGACAGGCCAGGCGCCGUUCGCUCUGCUGCCGCGGAAGGUUCGCCAUGUGGGAGGCUCUCCGUCAAUUGCCGCAGACUCAUCUGCUGUCUCACCUCUAACGUGUCAACUCAUGUCUUCUGCUUGGAAAGCCUUAAGAAACUGGCAGCUCACGUUUUUUUGAUGGGGUCCUUGCUUUUGGAACCAAGCCUCCAUGUUGAAGGGAAGCCCAAGCUGCUCAUAGAAAGGCCCAUAUGGAGAGAAACAACCAGUGCCAUCCUACCUGCAAUAUGACCAGACCCCUCAGGAAGCAGAGCCUCCUGCCUCAGCCCGGCUGCCCAGGUGACUCCAUGAGCAGCAGAGACCGGCCAUCCUGCUGAGCCCAAAUUGCAGAUUUAUGAGAAAA